GUGGCUGGGUCCCAGGAGUCCUGUGUUCCACUCCCAGCCCUGCUACCGAACUGCUGUGCGGGACCUUAGGAUCCUGCAGUUUCUGCAACACCUUCCACCGGAGCAUCUCAAAGUGUUUACCAAUCCUGCCCCACUGAUCCCACACCACCACCCAGUGUGAGGGCGACGUUACCAUCCCUGCGUGGCUGGUGGGGAAACUGAGGCACGGAAAGACUGGAUGGAAGGAACGACAGGGCUGAAAACUGCACAGCCCGCCCCCACGUGUUCUCUCUUCUUCAGACAGCUGGCCCUCCUCCUAUAUCCUUCCCCCAGCUGCCACCCGGGCGCCUGAUCUCGUUUCUCUCUGGCUGCUUCCUCCAGGCAGCAGUCCUCCCUUCUUCCUUUGCUUUUCCCCUCCUCUAGGGCUGCCUUCCCCCUGGAUCGGAUCCUCUCCGCCACACUCACCGCUCCUGCUGGGGGAUGCUUCAGUGUCUUGGGCUCUCCGGGCAGAGGGGCGUCCAGCGGCAGAUCCAGGGGGAUCCAGGCAGCAGGGGCGUCCAGCAGCAGAGCUCAGGCACCACCAGGAUUCAGGCAACAGGAAGGUCCUUGCUGCAUUAAAUCCCCUCCUGCCCUGCACUACAUUUCCUCAUCCCCACCGGGAGAGCUGGAGGAUCUGAGACCUCUGUGGGUUUAAUCCUUUAGAAGGGUGAAAACCCCUCUAGGGCGAAACUGACCACCCCAUGCAGUGGCCAGUGCACCUGUCCCAUCCUUCUGCACCUCACCCCUAGAACAGGUGGGGUGGUGAGGGAACUGGGGGACAUACCAUGGCCCGAUUGGAUGAUCUAAUGGCCCCUGCUACCUUUUAAGCUAUGAAAUCUGGGAGAAGGAGGUCAGGGUCUAUGCCAGCCUCCCAACCCAGGCACCUGUUUCCGUUUGCCAGUCCGAAACUUUAAAAGCAUAGACACAGGAAGCUAAAGGGAAAGCCCUUCACCUGCAGCAAGGGAGAUUUAGGCUAAAUAUCAGGGAAAACGGUCUGAGUAUAAGCGGCGAUUUUGGAACUCUUAUUAUUCUCCUUCAAGCAACAUAUUUUUUCCUGAAACCCGACUGUGAAAAACCCAAAUAUUGUUACAUUUUUUUACCCACAAUCUUUCCUUUAUUGGCAUUUUGAUGGGAUUUGUAUGGCAUUAUCAGCUCCUGCAAUUUUGUCCCAGGCAUCGUGAUAUUUGGUGGUUUUCUUAAAGCCCCAGCUCCUGGAGUCCUGUUAUUAUGAGAGACUCUCUGCUUUUUUUUUUUUUUUUUUUAAGGUACGUUUCUAGUCCUGAGGGUUGCGGAGAAAUGCUGGAAAACAAGAUGCCUAAAAUUAAAAGUUAUGCAUCCGAAGAAGUGGGCUGUAGUCCACGAAAGCUUAUACUCUAAUAAAUUUGUUAGUCUCUAAGGUG